CCCUAAUCCCUGCUGCUGGCUGUGAGAUUUACGGUCUCUGCUGAGGCCAGUCAGCUGCGGGUGGCACCGGAAUCCAGCCCCUGCCUGCAUCCGCUCCUGGGAGAGAUGACGGGGAAGCAGCUCUGGAGUCCU
rnacentral:lncRNA from 1 species